AUUGAACGCUGGCGGCAGGCCUAACACAUGCAAGUCGAGCGGCAGCGGGACCUUCGGGUUGCCGGCGAGAGGCGGACGGGUGAGUAAUGCCUAGGAAUCUGCAUGUUAGUGGGGGAUAACGCAGGGAAACUCGCGCUAUUACCGCAUACGCUCUACGGGCGAAAGCGGGGGCUCUUCGGACCUCGCGCUAACAGAUGAGCCUAGGUCGGAUUAGCUAGUUGGAGGGGUAAUGGCCCACCAAGGCGACGAUCCGUAACUGGUCUGAGAGGAUGAUCAGCCACACGGGAACUGAGACACGGUCCGGAGUCCGACGGGAGGCAGCAGUGGGGAAUAUUGGACAAUGGGAGAAAGACUAAUCCAGGCAUGCCGCGUGGGUGAAGAAGGUUUUCGGAUAGUAAAGCACUUUAGGGCGGGAGGAAGCACUGUAGGAUAAAACCUUGCAGUGUUGACGUUACCGACAGAAUAAGCACCGGCUAACUGCGUGCCAGCCGCCGCAGUAACAC
rnacentral:rRNA from 1 species